rnacentral:rRNA from 1 species
CCUGGCUCAGGAUGAACGCUAGCGACAGGCUUAACACAUGCAAGUCGAGGGGCAGCACAGGUAGCAAUACCGGGUGGCGACCGGCGCACGGGUGAGUAACGCGUAUGCAACUUACCUAUCAGAGGGGGAUAACCCGGCGAAAGUCGGACUAAUACCGCAUGAAGCAGGGGCCCCGCAUGGGGAUAUUUGCUAAAGAUUCAUCGCUGAUAGAUAGGCAUGCGUUCCAUUAGGCAGUUGGCGGGGUAACGGCCCACCAAACCGACGAUGGAUAGGGGUUCUGAGAGGAAGGUCCCCCACAUUGGUACUGAGACACGGACCAAACUCCUACGGGAGGCAGCAGUGAGGAACAUUGGUCAAUGGGCGUAAGCCUGAACCAGCCAAGUCGCGUGAGGGAUGAAGGUUCUAUGGAUCGUAAACCUCUUUUAUAAGGGAAUAAAGUGCGGGACGUGUCCCGUUUUGUAUGUACCUUAUGAAUAAGGAUCGGCUAACUCCGUGCCAGCAGCCGCGGUAAUACGGAGGAUCCGAGCGUUAUCCGGAUUUAUUGGGUUUAAAGGGUGCGUAGGCGGCCUUUUAAGUCAGCGGUGAAAGUCUGUGGCUCAACCAUAGAAUUGCCGUUGAAACUGGGGGGCUUGAGUAUGUUUGAGGCAGGCGGAAUGCGUGGUGUAGCGGUGAAAUGCUUAGAUAUCACGCAGAACCCCGAUUGCGAAGGCAGCCUGCCAAGCCAUGACUGACGCUGAUGCACGAAAGCGUGGGGAUCAAACAGGAUUAGAUACCCUGGUAGUCCACGCAGUAAACGAUGAUCACUAGCUGUUUGCGAUACAGUGUAAGCGGCACAGCGAAAGCGUUAAGUGAUCCACCUGGGGAGUACGCCGGCAACGGUGAAACUCAAAGGAAUUGACGGGGGCCCGCACAAGCGGAGGAACAUGUGGUUUAAUUCGAUGAUACGCGAGGAACCUUACCCGGGUUUGAACGCAUUUCGACCGCUCUGGAAACAGAGCCUCUAGCAAUAGCGAUUUGCGAGGUGCUGCAUGGUUGUCGUCAGCUCGUGCCGUGAGGUGUCGGCUUAAGUGCCAUAACGAGCGCAACCCUUGCCACUAGUUACUAACAGGUAAAGCUGAGGACUCUGGUGGGACUGCCAGCGUAAGCUGCGAGGAAGGCGGGGAUGACGUCAAAUCAGCACGGCCCUUACAUCCGGGGCGACACACGUGUUACAAUGGCGUGGACAAAGGGAUGCCACCUGGCGACAGGGAGCGAAUCCCCAAACCACGUCUCAGUUCGGAUCGGAGUCUGCAACCCGACUCCGUGAAGCUGGAUUCGCUAGUAAUCGCGCAUCAGCCAUGGCGCGGUGAAUACGUUCCCGAGCGUGUACACACCGCC